AGUCAUGUGGCCGAGUGGUUAGGCAGAGGUCUGCAAAACCUUUUACAGCGGUUCGAACCCGUUCAUGACGU
rnacentral:tRNA from 5 species